rnacentral:rRNA from 1 species
UACAGGGGGGGCAAGCGUUGUUCGGAAUUACUGGGCGUAAAGGGUUCGUAGGUGGCCACUUAAGUCAGACGUGAAAUCCCUCAGCUUAACUGGGGAACUGCGUCUGAUACUGAGUGGCUUGAGUGCAGGAGAGGAAUGCGGAAUUCCAGGUGUAGCGGUGAAAUGCGUAGAUAUCUGGAGGAAUACCGGUGGCGAAGGCGGCAUCCUGGACCGGCAUUGACGCUGAGGAGCGAAAGCCAGGGGAGCAAACGGG